GGGCGUGUGGCUCAGUUGGUAGAGCGUUCGCUUAGCAUACUCAAAGUCCCUUGAAAAAAAUUCUUCAUGAAUCGAUCAGGGAUCCCAUUGUAUGCGAAAGGUCCUGGGUUCGAUUCCCAGCUCGUCCA